CCUACGGGUGGCAGCAGUGAGGAAUAUUGGUCAAUGGGCGGAAGCCUGAACCAGCCAAGUAGCGUGCAGGAUGACGGCCCUACGGGUUGUAAACUGCUUUUAUACGGGAAUAACGCGCCUUACGUGUAGGGCUUUGCAUGUACCGUAUGAAUAAGGACCGGCUACUUCCGUGCCAGCAGCCGCGGUAAUACGGAAGGUCCGGGCGUUAUCCGGAUUUAUUGGGUGUAAAGGGAGCGUAGGCCGCAUGUCAAGCGUGCUGUGAAAUGUCCGGGCUCAACCCGGGCCUUGCAGUGGGAACUGGCGUGCUUGAGUCCGCGGAAAGCAGGCGGAAUU
rnacentral:rRNA from 1 species